rnacentral:rRNA from 1 species
AGCCGCCUACGGGACGCAGCAGUGAGGAAUAUUGGUCAAUGGGCGGGAGCCUGAACCAGCCAAGUCGCGUGAGGGACGACGGUCCUAUGGAUUGUAAACCUCUUUUGUCGGGGAACAAAGGCGCCCACGGGUGGGCGGAUGAGUGUACCCGAAGAAAAAGCAUCGGCUAACUCCGUGCCAGCAGCCGCGGUAAUACGGAGGAUGCAAGCGUUAUCCGGAUUUACUGGGUGUAAAGGGAGCGUAGGCGGUUUGGCAAGUCAGAAGGGAA